UACGGGGGGGGUAAGCGUUGUUCGGAAUUACUGGGCGUAAAGGGCUCGUAGGCGGCCAACUAAGUCGGACGUGAAAUCCCUCGGCUUAACCGGGGAACUGCAUCUGAUACUGGAUGGCUUGAGUUCGGGAGAGGGAUGCGGAAUUCCAGGUGUAGCGGUGAAAUGCGUAGAUAUCUGGAGGAACACCGGUGGCGAAGGCGGCAUCCUGGACCGACACUGACGCUGAGGAGCGAAAGCCAGGGGAGCAAACGGG
rnacentral:rRNA from 1 species